rnacentral:rRNA from 1 species
UACAGAGGUCCCGAGCGUUGUUCGGAUUCACUGGGCGUAAAGGGUGCGUAGGUGGUGAGGUAAGUCGGAUGUGAAAUCUCCGGGCUCAACCCGGAAAUGGCAUUGGAAACUACCUUGCUGGAGGAUUUGAGGGGGGAUUGGAAUACUUGGUGUAGCAGUGAAAUGCGUAGAUAUCAAGUGGAACAUCAGUGGCGAAGGCGAAUCCCUGGAAAAUACCUGACACUGAGGCACGAAAGCUAGGGGAGCAAACAGG